AAAAUAUUCAACAGUAUGCAUAUCUAGAGUUGCUAUCACAGAUUCCAGUUCAAAAAGACUAUCCUUACAACUUCAAAAUUUAAUGAUUUCAAAACUGAAUUGUACACACAAAUUGUACAAUUGUACCAUUCUGUAACUUUCAGAAACAAGCCACAGUAAUAUAAUUCCAUUAGGAAGCUAAAAAGCAAAACAAGUACUUUUCUUUGAUUGUCCUAUAGUAAUCACAAAUGCAAUAGACCUAAGAAUCAUUCAGCAGGUCACCAGCAUAAACCUCAAAAAGAAAGAGAGUUGAGAAGUCAGAAAAAAACUUAUUAUUAUAUUUAAGCAUAUUCCAGUAUCAUAAAGACUAGUUAUGAAUUGUUAGCUCCUAUUUUAGUGGCUUCUUACUAAAAUAAAAGUGGAGAUAGAAAACAGAAAUAAAAUCUUUAACUGACCACUAAGACCAUAAAAUGCAUUCAAAAAUUUCAACGUGUAUGCCAAGUCAGUAGUUUGGCAUGGACUUAGACAAAAUUAUAUCCAAUG
rnacentral:misc_RNA from 1 species